ACUUAGAGCACUUCUCUUUUUAGGAUUCCAUGGGCCCCUCUGAUCCUGCCAAACAGUGCUGACAUGGUAACCACAGAAGGAAUGUAUAGCGUCUGACCCAAGGAUUACUCUGCAGUGAGGGUCCAGGAUCUUUCCUUACAGAUACUUGCAAGCUCACUCUAAACACAUAUACACACCUUGUGUUCAACAACAAAAACUAAAGGGAAGUGUCGUGUGGUUGAUUUGCAGACUUGAUGACUGUUCGGCUCAAUGUCAAGAAGAAGAAAAGAGUUUCCUGCCUUUUCUGGAGCAGAACUGCGUUCUGGACUCAGGAAGACUGGCUCCACAGUCCAAGUUUUAGAUGCUGAAUCUGAGCAUCAGAGAAGUUAAGGCACUCAGUAAAGACUUCAAUGACUUUUCCAGCUAACACAGGGGAAGAAUUGGAACUUAAAGCCAGGUCUUCUGUCUCCAAAUCCCGUGACCUUUUAGAGCAUGUUUGAAGAAGAAAGUUCACACAUUUUCAUCUGAGAUACCUACUACUCUUUCUAAAAUUAAAUGCGGACUCUCGGCUACUUCUAUGAGCCAGUAAGAGUGCUGUGGUGGCUCUGUGACAUGUCAGCUUGGCUAGAUGAACUUCAUUUUUCAGAAAUCUCUCCUUGUAUGUUUCUGGUUUGGGUGGGCCAUAAGAAACAUUCUGUGAGAGACUUGGAGGUAGAAGGGAGGAACAGUCACUCUGUAGCUCACUCAUAUUGUUACUGAUCUGCUGACUCCCCUCAGUGCUCUGAAGCAGCAGCUGAGGCUGCAGCUCUCCUCCUUUCUCAUGGAUCCUUUUCCAGCUUCUAUGAUGCCUUGACCACAUGUGUGUUUAUUUCCCAGGGUCCCAGGUUCUGCAGGCUAUCCUUGUCACUAUGGACCAAGUAAUCAAAAAUGGCAUAGAUUUGGGUCCAUCUGCGUGGGACUCAUGCCGUGAAUUCUAACUUGUUCUUGAUCCCUCUUUACAUCCAUCUUCACUUUCUGGCAUGUGGACUUUGAGCUGCAGUGCCAGAGGCAAAGGCUACAGCCAUCCAGAGGCUGCUUAAGCUAUUCCCAUGAUUGUAGAAGGUCAAAUCCCUGUAACAAAAUCAGAGAGAUCAUAGACAGAGAGAGGAUAGAUGGAUAGAUAAGACAGAGAGUUAAAAGGCUGAACUGUAUCUCCCCAAAAUUUAUAUGUUGAAGCCCCAGACCCUAGUUACCUUAGAAUGUGACUCUAUUUGGAGACCCAUCCUUUAAAGAGCUGAUUAAGUUAAAAUGAGGCUGUCGGUGUUUAAACUGACAGAUGUCCUUAAAAGAAAAUCAUACAGUUGACCCUCAAACAACACAAGUUUGAAUGGUGCAGGUUCACUUACACAUUAAUUUUUUUCAAUAAAAGUUAUAAUGAGUGUGUCUGCCUUUCCUGCUUCCCCUUCCACUUUCUUCACCUCUUCUACCUUCGCCACCCUUGAGACAGCAAAACCAAUUCCUCCUCUUCCUCCUCCUCCUCAGCCUACUCAAUGAGAAGAUAAUGAUAAUCCACUUCCACUUAACGAAUAGGAAAUAUAUUUUCUCUUCCUUAUCUUAAUAACAUUUUCUUUUAUCUUACUUGAUUGUAAGAAUAGAGUAUAUACAUAUACAUAUAACAUACAAAAUAUGUGUUGACUGUUAAUGUUAUUGGUGAGACUUCUGGACCAACAGUAGACUAUUAGUAGUUAAGUUUGGGGGAGUCAAAAGGAAUAAAUAAAUUUUCAACUGUGCCGGGAGGUCAAUGCCCCUA